GACGAACGCUGGCGGCGUGCCUAAUACAUGCAAGUUGAGCGCUGAAGGUUGGUACUUGUACCAACUGGAUGAGCAGCGAACGGGUGAGUAACGCGUGGGGAAUCUGCCUUUGAGCGGGGGACAACAUUUGGAAACGAAUGCUAAUACCGCAUAAAAACUUUAAACACAAGUUUUAAGUUUGAAAGAUGCAAUUGCAUCACUCAAAGAUGAUCCCGCGUUGUAUUAGCUAGUUGGUGAGGUAAAGGCUCACCAAGGCGAUGAUACAUAGCCGACCUGAGAGGGUGAGCGGCCACAUUGGGACUGAGACACGGCCCAAACUCCUACGGGAGGCAGCAGUAGGGAAUCUUCGGCAAUGGACGAAAGUCUGACCGAGCGACGCCGCGUGAGUGAAGAAGGUUUUCGGAUCGUAAAACUCUGUUGGUAGAGAAGAACGUUGGUGAGAGUGGAAAGCUCAUCAAGUGACGGUAACUACCCAGAAAGGGACGGCUAACUACGUG
rnacentral:rRNA from 1 species